GACGAACGCUGGCGGCGUGCCUAACACAUGCAAGUCGAACGGAAAGGCCCUGCUUUUGUGCGGUGCUCUACUUGCGAACGGGUGAGCAACACGUGAGUACCCUGUCCUUGACUGUGGGAUAACUUCAGGCAACUGGGGCUCUUCCCGGAUAGGAGCUCCUGCUGCAUGGUGGGCGUUGGUAAGUUUCGCUGGUUGGGGAUGGACUCGCGGCUUAUUGCCUUGUUGGUGGGGUAGUGGCUUACCAAGGCUUUGACGGGUAGCCGACCUGAGAGGGGAACCGGCCCCACUAGGACUGGGAUACGACCCAGACUCCACCCGGAGGCAGGGGAGCGGAAGAUAACACGAGGGGCGGAGGCCUGAUCCAGCAACGCCGCGUGCGGGAAGACGGCAUUGCGGUAGUGAUCCGAUUUUGCCUGUGACGAGGCGUGAGUGACAGUAAUGGGUGAAGAAGCACCGGCUAACUACGUG
rnacentral:rRNA from 1 species